AUAGUUCCGGAUAUUCUUGGACCAUCGUUCACAAGUUUUUCUGUUUACGCUCCUGGCGUUUCAUUCAGCGGUCACUUCAGGUAGAACAAUUUGAUUGAAAGCUCUAACCCUGCGGCCAGAAGGUGGAACUACUGUGCCUUUGCAGAAACUCUACAUGAAGCUUAUCCACGAAUGGUAUGGAAAGAAAAGGAACUUCAGCAGCUUGGAUGGAUUGGGUUCAUGCGUUCAGUCAGCAGCUCAAGAAAGACCCGGAAAUUGCGAAUUAAACCACGUUUUGCACUGACCUCUAACACUUCUGAACAAACAACUGAUAUCUCGUGCGCUGAAGCACAGCGUGAGCUAAGGGCAAUUUCAGAAACUCUCACAGACCCAGAUCGAAUUGAUCUUUCAAGAAUGAACAUGUUGCUGCGUGCAACCAUUCAAAUACGGC